AGGCGUCUAUCGGCGGUUUCCAAGCUGCAUGGGGUGCAGGUGGUCGGAGGUUCAAAUCCUCUCGCCCCGACCA
rnacentral:tRNA from 1 species